UGAUGGCAGUGAUGAUUUUUCAACUUAUUGUUCACCUGAUAAACAAACAUGAAGGUGUUCAGUCACUACCUCAUCUGAUGCCAUCU
ensembl:snoRNA small nucleolar RNA, C/D box 11B